rnacentral:lncRNA from 1 species
GAAAAUUACCCAAGGAUGGGUCCGUAUAUAACCUGUAUUAUCCGUAUAUAGUUAGAACCAAGUAUUACCCAAGGAUAUUAUAUACGGAUUUGGGAAAUUAUUUUUUAAAGAAAAUGUUUUUCUGAUUAAUUGGAUGUUGGAGUUGCGUAUCACUCUCAUUCUGAAGCAUUUUCCCCUCUUUCUCGAACUCUAUGAACUCUUCUCCCUCUCGAACUCUCUUCUCUCUCGAACCCUCUUCUUUGUCGAACCCUCUUCUCUCUCGAAGUUGUCACUCUCCUCUGUCUCUCUCGAGCCCUCUUCAUCAAUCCUUCAUCAAACAUUGUCACCUCUCCUCUCGAACCUUCAGUCACCUCUUGUCUCGAACCUUCAGUCACCUCUCCUCUCGAACCACUCUUCUUUGUAGCUGCCGGUCGAGUUCUCCGCUGGCAAGCCCUGCUAAUCCCGCACUCCACCCCUCUUCUGUCAAACCCUAUCGUGCCCUAAAUCAUUCUUCUCUCGUUCCCUAAAUGAUUCUUCUCUCGAGCCCUAAAUCUGGUAAGUGAUUCUUAUCUUCCUUCAUUUUUCUGGUAAUCUAUAAUGCCUAAAAAUCUUUAAAAUUGAACCUUAAUCUGUGUUAGUUUUAUUUUAAUUGGCCCAUUUUUGGUUCAUCUGGCAAGACAUAGUUGGAUUUUGACGAGGCAUCGAUUGAGACUGUUGUGUUGCGGUUUAAACUAAGACAGAUAAAACUUGGUGCUACGAUGACCGAAGGAAUAAAAAAAAAGGUGCUUUUAAUUUCGUCUUUUGCUCGGUUUGGUAUGCAAUGUACUUCGGUGUGUGUCUCUCUCUCUCUCUCUCUCUCUCUCUCUAUAUAUAUAU